UUCCGUCGUGUGGGCCGGAAUGUUGCGGGCGGUGCUGGACUGUGAUUCCCACGUGGUGGCUUUCUCUCACUAGCCCACUUUGGUCCUCCUUGACGUCCUGGGCCUGUGGGCUCGCUUCCUGUCAAGAUGCCAAAGGUCAAGUCAGGGGCUGUGGGCCACCGCUGCGGGCGGCAGGAGCAGUACCGGCAGCUCAGGAGCACUGGAGGACUCAUGUUCAACACGGGAAUUGGGCAGCGCAUUUUGAAAAAUCCUCUCAUUGUUAACAGCAUUGUCGAUAAGGCUGCCUUAAGACCAACUGAUGUGGUGCUAGAAGUUGGACCUGGAACUGGCAACAUGACUGUAAAGUUGUUAGAAAAGGCAAAAAAGGUUGUUGCUUGUGAACUUGACCCAAGGCUAGUAGCUGAACUUCACAAAAAAGUUCAGGGCACACCUGUGGCCAGCAAACUUCAAGUACUGGUGGGUGAUGUGUUGAAAACAGAUUUGCCAUUCUUUGAUGCUCUGAUAAAUUUGCCUUAUCAGAUCUCUUCGCCUUUUGUCUUCAAGCUGUUGCUACAUCGACCUUUUUUCAGAUGUGCUAUACUUAGGUUUCAAAGAGAAUUUGCCCUCCGACUGGCUGCAAAACCUGGAGAUAAGUUAUACUGCAGACUCUCAAUACACAGCUGUUGGCACGUGUGGACCAUCUAAUGAAAGCUGGAAAGAAUAACUUCAGAACACCGCCCAAGGUGGAAUCCAGCGUUGUAAGGAGAGAACCUAAGAAUCCACCACCACCCAUCAAUUUUCAGGAAUGGGAUAGUAAGGAUAACCUUUGUUAGGAAAAACAAGACACUCUCUGCUGCAUUUAAAUCAAGUGCCGUGCAACAACUCUUGGAAAAAAACUAUAGAAUUCACUGUUUAGUCCAUAAUAUUAUAAUACCAGAAGAUUUCAGCAUAGCAGAUAAAAUACAGCAAAUCCUAAUCAGCACAGGCUUUAGUGACAAACGGGCCCAUUCCAUGGACAUAGAUGACUUCAUCAGAUUGCUACAUGGAUUCAACGCAGAAGAUAUUCAUUUUUCCUAG